rnacentral:rRNA from 1 species
UUCCGGUUGAUCCUGCCGGAGGCUACCGCUAUUGGAAUCCGAUUAAGCCAUGCGAGUCGAGGGAUUUCGGAUCUCGGCAGACGUCUCAGUAACACGUGGAUAAUCUACCCUUGAGUGGGGGAUAAGCUUGGAAACCUGAGUAUAAUACCCCAUAGGCCUAGGAUGCUGGAAUGCUUCUAGGCUGAAAGCUCCGGCGCUCGAGGAUGAAUCUGCGGCCUAUCAGGCAGUAGUGGGUGUAACGGACCCACUAACCUUCGACGGGUACGGGCCUUGAGAGAGGUUGCCCGGAGUUGGACUCUGAGACACGAGUCCAGGCCCUACGGGGUGCAGCAGGCGCGAAAACUUCACAAUGUGGGAAACCACGAUGAGGGGAUUCCAAGUGCCAACACUUUGUGUUGGCUGUUCACUUGCCUAAAAAGCUGGUGAAGUAAGAGCCGGGUAAGACGGGUGCCAGCCGCCGCGGUAAUACCCGCGGCUCGAGUGGUGGCCACUAUUAUUGAGCCUAAAGCGUUCGUAGCCGGUUUCGUAAAUUUCUGGGUAAAUCGGGCAGCUUAACUGUCCGAAUUCCGGAAAGACUGCGAAACUUGGGACCGGAGGAGGUUGGAGGUACUCCUGGGGUAGGGGUGAAAUCCUGUAAUCCUGGGGGGACCACCAGUGGCGAAGGCGUCCAACCAAAACGGCUCCGACGGUAAGGGACGAAGCCCUGGGGCGCAAACGGGAUUAGAUACCCCGGUAGUCCAGGGUGUAAACGCUGCAGGCUUGGUGUUGGGGGUCCUACGAGGGCGCCCAGUGCCGGAGAGAAGUUGUUAAGCCUGCCGCUUGGGGAGUACGUCCGCAAGGAUGAAACUUAAAGGAAUUGGCGGGGGAGCAC